rnacentral:lncRNA from 1 species
AUACUGACAUAAGAAAAUCUACAGAAUUUUUUCAACCCACGGAUACCCGUUUUCCAAUUACCAAGCCCAAAUUCUGACCCAAACUUUAUUCUCCUUUCUUAUUCAAAACUCACAAACCCAAAGAGAGCAACCCUCUAUUCCUCCACUUGCGGACUGUCCUCCAUCCACCUAGAAGCAUCGCGUUCUCCUCCAGCCGGGCAAGAUCGUCGCCUGCGAGAGUUAAAGGGAGAAAAACAAACCCUAGUCAUUUUUCUUUUUGUUUUAUUUUUUUCUUCUCUUAGAAAAUCACAGACCCUAAGAUGUUGGGAGGGAUGUGCAGCGUGAGUAAGAGAAUGGAAUUGGAGGAGAUGCUAACUUGUUCAUGAGGGUGAGAGAGGACGAAUCCCAAAGGAUUUUGAAGUGAAACUUUGGGGGUUUUAUGGUUUUUGGGAAGAAGAAAGACAACAUCUUUGAGAGCGAGAGAGAUUUCUUGUGUUUUUGAGAAAACAUGGGGGAAAAUCUAAUUAUUAAGAAAGUGAGGAAGACCAAGGAGAAAGAACGGGGCAACUCCUUAGGGUUUGACGGCAGCCUGCGGAUUAGGCAUGGGGACAACUUUUUUUCUUUAUUUUGAUACGAAGAGAAAACCCUAGAAAGGGAUUUGCGCUUUAGCCUAUUUUUACAAAAAAUUAAACAAUGAAAAAAAAAGUAAUGGAAUAAAAUUGUAAUUUCAUUAUUCAAACGAGUAAUGGGUAUCUACGAGUACGAAUAUU